AUUGAGCAAGAUUUCAGGAACAACAAUCCAAUCCUACACACUUGGAACAAAUUGCUUGGAACACAAGAAAUCAACAAAAGUUGAUUAUUCACUGAGUAAAUCGAUUGGGAAAUCGAUUUCAUAACAAGGGUGUAAGGAUAAGUAUAUGUUUGUGAUUGUAUAAUCGAUUGGGAAAUCGACUGACUAAAUUAGAAUUGAAAAUUGAACAAGUCAGUGGCAACCUGAUUUACAGGUUAAUCGAUUGACAAAUCGAUUGUGCAUAUCACAAAAUGAAAACUGAUUGAAACUAAUCGACUGGCAAAUCGAUUGGGAAGUCACAGGGCACUAGGAAAUCGAUUGCCUAAAUAAAAUUUCAAAAGGAACUUAAGCCUUGACUAACACAAUCGAUUGGACAAUCUAUUGUGAGAAUUUCAAUCAAGUUAAGUUUGGUUGCAAUCG
rnacentral:lncRNA from 1 species